rnacentral:lncRNA from 10 species
AGAUUUGAGGGUACUCUGACUGCAACAUCUUUCACCCCAUUGAUCGCCAGGAUUGAUUUGGUUGAUCUGGCUGAGCAGGCGGGUGUCCCCGUCCUCCCUCACUGCCCCAUAUGUGUCCCUCCUAAAGCUGCAUGCUCAGUUGAAGAGGACGAGAGGACGACCUUCUCUGAUAGAGGAGGACCACGCUUCAGUCAAAGGCAUACAAGUAUCUAUCUGGACUUCCCUGCUAGCACUUCCAAACAAGCUCAGAGAUGUUCCUCCCCUCAUCU